rnacentral:rRNA from 1 species
UACGUAGGGACCGAGCGUUGUCCGGAAUCAUUGGGCGUAAAGGGCGCGUAGGCGGCAUGGCAAGUGGAUGGUGAAAUCCCUCGGCUUAACCGAGGAACUGCCGUCCAAACUGCUUCGCUUGAGACCGGGAGAGGUGAGUGGAAUUCCCAGUGUAGCGGUGAAAUGCGUAGAUAUUGGGAGGAACACCAGUGGCGAAGGCGGCUCACUGGACCGGUACUGACGCUGAAGCGCGAAAGCGUGGGGAGCAAACGGG